rnacentral:rRNA from 1 species
GAGUUUGAUCUUGGCUCAGAACGAACGCUGGCGGCAUGCCUAACACAUGCAAGUCGAACGCCCCGCAAGGGGAGUGGCGAACGGGUGAGUAACGCGUGGGAACCUACCCAGCAGUUGGGGAUAACCGCGGGAAACUUACGCUAAUACCGCAUACGACCUACGGGUGAAAGCGGCGGACCGCAAGGCGUCGCGCGAUUGGAUGAGCCGAUGUCCGAUUAGCUAGUUGGCGGGGUAAAGGCCCACCAAGGCGACGAUCGGUAGCUGGUCUGAGAGGAUGAUCAGCCACACUGGAACUGAGACACGGUCCAGACUCCUACGGGAGGCAGCAGUGGGGAAUAUUGGACAAUGGGCGCAAGCCUGAUCCAGCCAUGCCGCGUGUGUGAAGAAGGCC